rnacentral:rRNA from 1 species
UACGAAGGGGGCUAGCGUUGCUCGGAAUCACUGGGCGUAAAGGGUGCGUAGGCGGGUCUUUAAGUCAGGGGGGAAAUCCUGGAGCUCAACUCCAGAACUGCCUUUGAUACUGAGGAUCUUGAGUACGGGAGAGGUGAGUGGAACUGCGAGUGUAGAGGUGAAAUUCGUAGAUAUUCGCAAGAACACCAGUGGCGAAGGCGGCUCACUGGCCCGUUACUGACGCUGAGGUGCGAAAGCGUGGGGAGCAAACAGG